rnacentral:rRNA from 1 species
AAUAUUGGACAAUGGGCGAAAGCCUGAUCCCGCCAUGCCGCGUGUGUGAAGAAGGUCUACGGAUANUAAAGCACUUUAAGUUGGGANGAAGGGCAGUAAGUUACUACCUUGCUGUUUUGACGUUACCGACAGAAUAAGCACCGGCUAACUUCGUGCCAGCAGCCGCGGUAAUACGAAGUGUGCAAGCGUUAAUCGGAAUUAUUGGGCGUAAAGCGCGCGUAGGUGGUUUGUUAAGUUGGAAGUGAAAGCCCCGGGCUUAACCUGGGAAUUGCUUUCAAAACUGACGAGCUAGAGUACGGUAGAGGGUAGUGGAAUUUCCUGUGUAGCGGUGAAAUGCGUAGAUAUAGGAAGGAACAUCAGUGGCGAAGGCGACUACCUGGACUGAUACUGACACUGAGGUGCGAAAGCGUGGGGAGCAAACAGG